CCUACGGGAGGCAGCAGUGGGGAAUAUUGGACAAUGGGGGCAACCCUGAUCCAGCCAUGCCGCGUGUGUGAAGAAGGCCCGCGGGUUGUAAAGCACUUUCAGUGAGGAAGAACGCCUGUUGGGUAAUACCCAUCAGGAAAGACAUCACUCACAGAAGAAGCACCGGCUAACUCCGUGCCAGCAGCCGCGGUAAUACGGAGGGUGCGAGCGUUAAUCGGAAUUACUGGGCGUAAAGCGCGCGUAGGUGGCUUGAUAAGCCGGUUGUGAAAGCCCCGGGCUCAACCUGGGAACGGCAUCCGGAACUGUCAAGCUAGAGUGCAGGAGAGGAAGGUAGAAUUCCCGGUGUAGCGGUGAAAUGCGUAGAGAUCGGGAGGAAUACCAGUGGCGAAGGCGGCCUUCUGGACUGACACUGACCCUGAGGUGCGAAAGCGUGGGUAGCAAACAGGAUUAGAUACCCGAGUAGUC
rnacentral:rRNA from 1 species